CUAGAAAGAGAGAAAGAAAGGUGAAGAGAGAGAGACAAACAUGGAGCUCUCUCAGCAUGGUUUCUUGGAGGAGUUGCUUCAAGCUCCAAGAAGGGACAGUAGUUGGGCAAACUUCCCUUCUGCUGGGGCUAAUGAGGUCUUCUGGAUGGAACUUUGAUUCUUUUGAUGAGAACGCAGCAAAUCCUUCAUUUAUAGGAUUCUCCACCACUCCAACAGAACCUACCUGCUUUGACUGCCCUUUCAGUGACCAAACUUACCCUUUUGUUGAUGGUUUCACUGUACCUGCUGAGAUUGACACAUCUUAUACUACCAGGAAUAAUGAUACACCUCCAUUUCCAACCCAAGAUCAAGAUUACCCUUCAAUUAUUGAAGAUGAAGAGUUUGGUCUUCUUACAAGUCACUGUAGUUAUGAAGAAAGAUCAAGUAGUGCCUGCAAAGUUGAGAUGGAACAACCAGCUAGCAAUGAUGCUCAGGUUUUCAGUAUGGGUUUGAGUGCAGAGAAAAAGAACAAGUCCAAGAAGUUAGAAGGGCAGCCUUCAAAGAAUCUAAUGGCAGAAAGACGGAGAAGAAAGCGCUUGAACGAUCGCCUUUCCAUGCUAAGAUCAAUAGUCCCUAAGAUCAGCAAGAUGGACAGAACUUCAAUACUUGGAGAUACCAUAGAUUACAUGAAAGAACUUCUUGAAAGGAUCAAUAAGCUGCAAGAAGAAGAAGGUGAAGAGGGUACAAAUGAAAUGAACUUAAUGACUAACUUGAAAGAGCUUAAGCCAAAUGAAGUGCUUGUGAGAAAUUCCCCCAAGUUCAAUGUGGAGAGGAGAGAGAUCGAUACCCGGA
rnacentral:misc_RNA from 1 species